rnacentral:rRNA from 1 species
GGACGGGGCCCGCACAAGCGGUGGAGCAUGUGGUUUAAUUCGACGCAACGCGAAAAACCUUACCCACCUUUGACAUGUACGGAAUCCUUUAGAGAUAGAGGAGUGCUCGAAAGAGAACCGUAACACAGGUGCUGCAUGGCUGUCGUCAGCUCGUGUCGUGAGAUGUUGGGUUAAGUCCCGCAACGAGCGCAACCCUUGUCAUUAGUUGCUACAUUUAGUUGGGCACUCUAAUGAGACUGCCGGUGACAAACCGGAGGAAGGUGGGGAUGACGUCAAGUCCUCAUGGCCCUUAUAGGUGGGGCUACACACGUCAUACAAUGGAUGGUACAAAGGGUCGCCAACCCGCGAGGGGGAGCCAAUCCCAUAAAGCCAUUCGUAGUCCGGAUCGCAGUCUGCAACUCGACCGCGUGAAGUCGGAAUCGCUAGUAAUCGUGGAUCAGAAUGUCACGGUGAAUACGUUCCCGGGUCUU